rnacentral:lncRNA from 1 species
CUUUCUCCAAGUAAGCGCUCCGCAGUCUCCUGCUGAUUGGAGAGCUUUUGCUGACACUUUUAACAAGCUCUACUAAACUAUUUUGUUGUGUACAUGUAGGGUCUCCAUACCUCAUCAGUCUGAAUUUGAACACCAGGAGAGCAGCAGUGGGAGCAUGGAAAGUGCCAAGGGCUUCCCUGGGGGACACCAGAGGUGACACUCCUGGGGAUACGGCUUGGUUCACAUCUCUCAGCAACGGCCAUGAUGCAUCCCAGACACUAAGAUCAGAGUGUGAUGUCACCCCAGAGCUGCUCACACAGAACUCGAGCACAAAGAAAUACAGACGUCUUCACUCUGCAUCUAAUGGUGAGUAAAUGUGUCGGUGGUCAGAAGUAGAGUUAGAGUUGUAUGCCAGCUGAGAAAGGGAGAUGGUACAAGAAAAAGACUAAA